GACCUUCGGGAGCCUAUACAGGUGUUGCAUGGCUGUCGUCAGCUCGUGUCGUGAGAUGUUCGGUUAAGUCCGCUAACGAGCGCAACCCUCGUCGUAUGUUAUAUGUGUCAUACGAGACUGCCGGUAAAAGCCGGAGGAAGGUGAGGAUGAUGUCAAGUCAGCAUGACCUUUAUAUCCAGGGCUACACACACGCUACAAUGGUCUGUACAAUGGGUAGCCAAGCCGCGAGGCGGAGCCAAUCCUGAAAGCAGGCCUCAGUUCAGAUUGCAGUCUGCAACUCGACUGCAUGAAGCCGGAGUUGCUAGUAACCGCAGGUCAGCAAUACUGCGGUGAAUACGUUCCCGGGUCUU
rnacentral:rRNA from 1 species